UUCAGGUUGCUUGAACACAACAGUAAGCAUGUGACAGUCAGUUCCCAAGGGAUUUUCAGCCAGUCUUACUGAUCUGCUGUGUCACACAACUUUUUUUUAGGUCUUUCCCAUUCAAUAGCACCUUUCCUCUGGCAAAGUGAACCUUAUUGGACCAGGUAUUGAUUUUUUUUUACGAUGACUAGUACUUGAUAGUUCAGAAAUCCAACACACCCAGGUAGAGAGAAUUCCUAGCAGUGGAAUAAA
rnacentral:lncRNA from 1 species